rnacentral:rRNA from 1 species
UACGUAGGGGGCCAGCGUUGUUCGGAAUUACUGGGCGUAAAGGGCUCGUAGGCGGCCAACUAAGUCAGACGUGAAAUCCCCAGGCUCAACCUGGGAACUGCGUCUGAUACUGGAUGGCUUGAAUUCGGGAGAGGGAUGCAGAAUUCCAGGUGUAGCGGUGAAAUGCGUAGAUAUCUGGAGGAAUACCGGUGGCGAAGGCGGCAUCCUGGACCGACAUUGACGCUGAUGAGCGAAAGCUAGGGGAGCAAACGGG